CAGCCGCCACGGUAAAACGGAGGGUGCAAGCGUUAAUCGGAAUUACUGGGCGUAAAGCGCGCGUAGGCGGACAUUUAAGUCAGGGGUGAAAUCCCGGGGCUCAACCCCGGAACUGCCUCUGAUACUGGGUGUCUAGAGUUCGGAAGAGGUAAGUGGAAUUGCGGGUGUAGAGGUGAAAUUCGUAGAUAUUCGCAGGAACACCAGUGGCGAAGGCGACUUACUGGUCCGAUACUGACGCUGAGGUGCGAAAGCGUGGGGAGCAAACAGGAUUAGAUACCCCGGUAGUCCCUGUCUCUUAUAC
rnacentral:rRNA from 1 species